CGGGGCGUAGCGCAGUUGGGAGCGCGCAUGUAUGGGGUACAUGAGGUCGAGAGUUCAAAUCUCUCCGCCCCGA
rnacentral:tRNA from 1 species